GACCGCGUAGCUCAGUUGGCAGAGCAUUGGGCUAGUAUCCCAAAGGUCGUAGGUUCGAUUCCCACCGUGGCCG
rnacentral:tRNA from 1 species